UACGAAGGACCCGAGCGUUAUCCGGAUUUAUUGGGUUUAAAGGGUGCGUAGGCGGAUUAGUAAGUCAGUGGUGAAAGCCCGUCGCUUAACGGCGGAACUGCCAUUGAUACUGCUAGUCUUGAGUAUGGUUGAGGUGGGCGGAAUGUGUCAUGUAGCGGUGAAAUGCUUAGAUAUGACCCAGAACACCAAUUGCGAAGGCAGCUCGCUAAGCCAUAACCUGACGCUGAGGCACGAAAGCGUGGGGAGCAAACAGGG
rnacentral:rRNA from 1 species